rnacentral:rRNA from 1 species
GACGAACGCUGGCGGCGUGCUUAACACAUGCAAGUCGAACGGUAAGGCCCUUCGGGGUACACGAGUGGCGAACGGGUGAGUAACACGUGGGUGAUCUGCCCUGCACUUCGGGAUAAGCCUGGGAAACUGGGUCUAAUACCGGAUAGGACCACUGCCUGCAUGGGUGGUGGUGGAAAGCUUUUGCGGUGUGGGAUGGGCCCGCGGCCUAUCAGCUUGUUGGUGGGGUGAUGGGCUACCAAGGCGACGACGGGUAGCCGGCCUGAGCGGGUGACCGGCCACACUGGGACUGAGAUACGGCCCAGACUCCUACGGGAGGCAGCAGUGGGGAAUAUUGCACAAUGGGCGCAAGCCUGAUGCAGCGACGCCGCGUGAGGGAUGACGGCCUUCGGGUUGUAAACCUCUUUCAGCACCGACGAAGCGCAAGUGACGGUAGGUGCAGAAGAAGGACCGGCCAACUACGUGCCAGCCGCCGCGGUAA